GACGAACGCUGGCGGCGUGCUUAACACAUGCAAGUCGAACGGAAAGGCCCUGCUUUUGUGGGGUGCUCGAGUGGCGAACGGGUGAGUAACACGUGAGUAACCUGCCCUUGACUUUGGGAUAACUUCAGGAAACUGGGGCUAAUACCGGAUAGGAGCUCCUGCUGCAUGGUGGGGGUUGGAAAGUUUCGGCGGUUGGGGAUGGACUCGCGGCUUAUCAGCUUGUUGGUGGGGUAGUGGCUUACCAAGGCUUUGACGGGUAGCCGGCCUGAGAGGGUGACCGGCCAAAUGGGGACUGAGAUACGGCCCAGACUCCUACGGGAGGAAGCAGUGGGGAAUAUGGCAAAAUGGGCGGAAGCCUGAUGCAGCAACGCCGCGUGCGGGAUGACGGCCUUCGGGUUGUAAACCGCUUUGGCCUGUGACGAAGCGUGAGUGACGGUAAUGGGUAAAGAAGCACCGGCUAACUACGUG
rnacentral:rRNA from 1 species